CUCAAGUAUCGGUGACUAGAAUUAAAAGUGGAAACUAGUAGGUGUUUGUAAAAAUAUGUGUCAAGCUUGGCUAUUCCUGGUUUCCCAAAAGCGUUUUAGGACACAUAUAUGCUGCGGUCUCCCAGAAAUAGAAGUGUGGGUAACUCAACCCAAAGCUGUGGUUCCUGUGCGCUGCCUGCUUGGAUGGUGCGUCAGCAGAAUGCACGGUGACCUCAAGCAACAAGGGGUCAGAACUAUGUGGACUUUGAUUUGGAAUGUCCUUCCUACCCAGCCCUAUCCACCUCAUGCUUGGGUGCCGGACCCUUGUUUUUCAGUUAAAAAUGGCAGGACUGGGGCUCAAGAAAUCCAAGUGCAGGUUCGAUCCGUUCAUUGACAGUGAGAACUUAGAUUAGUCACUCGCCUGUCCCAGAGCAGCUUGCCUUCCUCUGAGAACUGGGGCUGAGCCUGUGAGAACAACAGGCCUCCAAGUUCUUGGAAGAUCAAGUAAAGUAAGGUACCCUAUGAGGUGUUGAGGAAGUGCUGUUAGUGACAAGAAGAGGUCAGGUCAGCAUUCCCAGGGCUGUGUGAGAACUGCCCCAGAGGUGUGUUAAAAUUCUGAUUCUGGGCCUCCACCGCAACCUACUGAAUCAGGAUUUCCACAGGUGGGGCCCAGGAAAUGUGUGUGGC
rnacentral:lncRNA from 1 species